rnacentral:rRNA from 1 species
CGCAUCUGUGCAUGCAGCAUAUCAAUAAGCGGAGGAAAAGAAACUAACAAGGAUUCCCCUAGUAACGGCGAGUGAAGCGGGAAGAGCUCAAAUUUGAAAUCUUAAAGGGUUUCCCUUUACGAAUUGUAGUUUAAAGAAGUGUUUUCUGUUGAGGUUUUGGUAAAAGUUCUUUGGAAUAGGACAUCAUAGAGGGUGAGAAUCCCGUAUUUGACCUUUACUUUCAACUUUGUGAUACACUUUCAAAGAGUCGGAUUGUUUGGGAAUGCAGUCCAAAAUGGGUGGUAAAUUUCAUCUAAAGCUAAAUAUUGGCGAGAGACCGAUAGCGAACAAGUACCGUGAGGGAAAGAUGAAAAGAACUUUGAAAAGAGAGUUAAACAGUACGUGAAAUUGUCAAAAGGGAAGCGUUUGACACCAGUGUUGUUUUUCUGAAAAUCAAUUAAAGAACUGUUUAAUGCUAAGCUGUUUAGACUUUAUCAGCUAUCUGUUUAGUUUUGAGCUUUUCUUUAAUGCACUUUCCAGUUAACAAGUCAACAUCAAUUUCUUUUGCUGUAAAAAAGCUUGAGGAAGGUGGCUUGAGAUUCGUCUUAAGUGUUUAUAGCCUCUUGCCUAUGCAGUCGGAGAGAUUGAGGUCUGCAGCGUAGAUCCUUCGGGGCUAAAUGCAUUUGUGCUAAGUUAUAGCAUUUUAUAGACAACUUGUUGACUAUGAUUUGUCUUGUAGCUUACUCGCUUAUGUUAUUUUACCUACGCUUAGGAUGUUGAGUCGUAGAGCACGCAG